rnacentral:rRNA from 1 species
UGCCAGCAGCCGCGGUAAUACGUAGGUGGCAAGCGUUGUCCGGAUUUAUUGGGCGUAAAGCGAGCGCAGGCGGUUUCUUAAGUCUGAUGUGAAAGCCCCCGGCUCAACCGGGGAGGGUCAUUGGAAACUGGGAGACUUGAGUGCAGACGAGGAGAGUGGAAUUCCAUGUGUAGCGGUGAAAUGCGUAGAUAUAUGGAGGAACACCAGUGGCGAAGGCGGCUCUCUGGUCUGUAACUGACGCUGAGGCUCGAAAGCGUGGGGAGCAAACAGGAUUAGAUACC